rnacentral:rRNA from 1 species
AUUGAACGCUGGCGGCAGGCCUAACACAUGCAAGUCGAGCGGAUGAAGGGAGCUUGCUCCUGGAUUCAGCGGCGGACGGGUGAGUAAUGCCUAGGAAUCUGCCUGGUAGUGGGGGAUAACGUCCGGAAACGGGCGCUAAUACCGCAUACGUCCUGAGGGAGGAAGUGGGGGAUCUUCGGACCUCACGCUAUCAGAUGAGCCUAGGUCGGAUUAGCUAGUUGGUGGGGUAAAGGCCUACCAAGGCGACGAUCCGUAACUGGUCUGAGAGGAUGAUCAGUCACACCUGAACUGAGACACGGUCCAGACUCCUACGGGAGGCAGCAGUGGGGAAUAUUGGACAAUGGGCGAAAGCCUGAUCCAGCCAUGCCGCGUGUGUGAAGAAGGUCUUCGGAUUGUAAAGCACUUUAAGUUGGGAGGAAGGGCAGUAAGUUAAUACCUUGCUGUUUUGACGUUACCAACAGAAUAAGCACCGGCUAACUUCGUG